rnacentral:tRNA from 1 species
UCCGCCUUGGUGUAACGGCAGCACGACGGCCUUUGGAGCCGUUAGGUCCAGGUUCGAAUCCUGGGGGCGGAGC